ensembl:snRNA LOC120093465 U2 spliceosomal RNA
AUCUAUUCAUGGUCUUUUGGCUGAAAUCAAGUGUGAAGUAUCUUGCUUUCUGUUUCAUAUUUGAUAUUUCUUCUAUCUGAGGACACUAAAUAAAUUGAUCUUUGGAGUUGGGAAAUGUAAUAGGGCUUGCUCCUUCUAUUUCAUGAAUUGCCCUGAUGUUGCAGUACCUGGAUCAUUGCAUCAAAA